ACACAUGCAAGUCGAACGAGAAUCUACUGAAAGAGUUUUCGGACAAUGGAUGUAGAGGAAAGUGGCGGACGGGUGAGUAACGCGUGAGGAACCUGCCUUGAAGAGGGGGACAACAGUUGGAAACGACUGCUAAUACCGCAUGACGCAUAGAGGUCGCAUGAUCUAUAUGCCAAAGAUUUAUCGCUUCAAGAUGGCCUCGCGUCUGAUUAGCUGGUUGGCGGGGUAACGGCCCACCAAGGCGACGAUCAGUAGCCGGACUGAGAGGUUGAACGGCCACAUUGGGACUGAGAUACGGCCCAGACUCCUACGGGAGGCAGCAGUGGGGAAUAUUGGGCAAUGGGCGCAAGCCUGACCCAGCAACGCCGCGUGAAGGAAGAAGGCUUUCGGGUUGUAAACUUCUUUUAAGAGGGAAGAGCAGAAGACGGUACCUCUAGAAUAAGCCACGGCUAACUACGUGCCAGCAGCCGCGGUAAUACGUAGGUGGCAAGCGUUGUCCGGAUUUACUGGGUGUAAAGGGCGUGCAGCCGGGUCUGCAAGUCAGAUGUGAAAUCCAUGGGCUCAACCCAUGAACUGCAUUUGAAACUGUAGAUCUUGAGUGUCGGAGGGGCAAUCGGAAUUCCUAGUGUAGCGGUGAAAUGCGUAGAUAUUAGGAGGAACACCAGUGGCGAAGGCGGAUUGCUGGACGAUAACUGACGGUGAGGCGCGAAAGUGUGGGGAGCAAACAGGAUUAGAUACCCUGGUAGUCCACACUGUAAACGAUGAAUACUAGGUGUGCGGGGACUGACCCCCUGCGUGCCGCAGUAAACACAAUAAGUAUUCCACCUGGGGAGUACGAUCGCAAGAUUGAAACUCAAAGGAAUUGACGGGGG
rnacentral:rRNA from 1 species